GUGGAAAGGAGUUUUUGACUGUUUCUGUAAGUCAGAACAUGUCUCUCAGAAGAUACAACAUUGGCAUUGGAUUUGGAAAGGCAAAUAAGAGAACAGCUCACUCUGAAUUUCAGAUACUCCUGGUUGCAGCAUGAGCUCUGAAAACUACUGGCCUCACCUGAUGUUUCUGGAUUUGUUAACUGCUUUCCAGACACCGGUUGAAAGGAAGAUAAGCUGUCCUCGUUUCGUUUCUAGUGCUAUGAUGAAAUAUCCUGGCAAAAAUCAGCUGAGGGGAGACAGGGUUUGCUUUGGCUCACAAUUUUAGCUUGCAGAUCAUCAUGACAAGAGAGUCAAGAUGGCAGGAACUUAAAAUAAUGACUCACACCACAGCCACAGCGGAGACGAUGCUGUCACCCAUAAUUGGUGCUUUACCAGCAUAUAUACCUGUGUACCACUUACAUCCUUGAUGCCAUCAGAAGCCAGAAGAAAGCACUAGAUCCUCUGGAACUGAAAUUACAGAUGGUUGUGAGACACCUACUGCGUGCUGGGUAUGAAACCAGUGUCCUUCUGGGAGAGCUACCAGUAUUCUGUACCACUUACAUAUCUCUGAGGCUCAUUCAGAAGGCCUUUAGCGUUGCUUAUUCAUCCCUACAUUCCCUUCUCUACACUUCCCCCAUUCCCUACCCCAUUUAGCCCUUUGUGCUCCCAUAUUCCCCUUUAACCUUCUUUACCAUUGCAUUUUACCUCCCCUCCUUAGAAUGUAUCCCUAUGAUCCCUGAGUAUUCCAAUUGAAACACACACUUCUGAAAAUUUGAAGCUAGUAUCCACAAACAAGAGAAAACUUUUGGUGUUCGUCAUUCUUGGUCACAGUUUACCUACUCAGAAUGAUUGGUUUUUAAAUGCAUCCAUUUACUUGCAAAUUUCAUAAUUUCUUAUUAUCAGCUGAAUGGUAUUGCAUUAUAUAAAUGUACCACAUUUUCACUGUCUAUUCAUUAGAUGUGCUUCAAUGUGCUAUGUUUGCUACCAGGGGAGAAGAGUAACCAGCAAUUCUCCCCAGCUGCUGACCCUGAGAGCCACCAUAAUUAUAAGUUGGACACAUGUAAUAGCAGAAUGAACAUCUUGGGAAUAAUCUAUUAUUUUAUGAUAGGAUUUAAAGACUACUCCAGAAACUGAAACCCAUACCUGGCACCAUCAUCUGGGUCAAUAAUAUGUGGCUAGGCAGGUUAUAGAUCCUACAGGAGAACCUUAUAUUGUUAUAGUGCUAAAUGGACAUGGUAGUAAAUGGACUCCUAUUAGUUACCAUUAUGGCAUACAUCAGUAGUUCUCAACCUUCCUAAUGCUUUGACUCUUUAAUAUAGUACCUUAUUUGGUGACCCCCAACCAUAAAGUUAUUUUGUUGCUACUUCAUAACUGUAAUUUUGCUACUGUUACAAAGUAUAAAUUUGAUAUCUGUUAUGCAGGGUUAUCUGAUAUGUGACCGUUGUAAAAGGGUGAUUAGACCACUAGAGGAGUAGCGACCACACAUUGAGAACCACUGCCAUAGGGUAUUGAAUCUUCCAUCCCUCAUGAGUGACACUUCUUUUUUCAGUAGUUGAUGAUUCACAAAGACACAACUGGUAAAUGUGAAGGGAAGAAGUGACUGCAGAACACUCAGUCUUAAAAAUGGGAUACUCAGGGGUUGUCGGGGAGAGAGUGUGGAAAGACCGUCAGAGCCAGAGGCAGUGCACGCCUAGGAGGAUAAGGUGUUUUACACAGCAGAGCCGUUGAAUAUAUUCAUUCGUAACAGUUGUGACACAUACUUUCGACUUAUACAAUCUCAAAUCAGACAAAAUCCACACUUGCAGAGGAGAAGGGGGCCGAAGUCCCACCCCUAGCUGAGUAGCUAUUGGAGACUGAGAGUUUCUGAGAGAGCAAAGUCAGUUUUCUUUAAGGGUGUGGCUCCUGGUAUGUGGACCAUACUCCAAUAGAAGGCCACACACCUAAGAGUAUAUGGGUAACACCAAGUGUACUUGAUUGAAAAAAAAAGGUAGCAAGUUAAGUGGGUAGGGAAAAGGGACAAGGAUCGAGGGGAAUGUUGUGAAGAGUGAAAAUGAUCUAAAGACGUUGUAUGAAAUUCUCAAUGAAUUAAUAAAAAUAAGGUGGAAAGAGAAAAACAAGUUUAGAAAUUGGUAAGGUAAUUAAGGGAGUAAUAUCAAAUUUCUAACUCUUCUGCACUUGCU